GAGAAAAGGAUUCUAGAAAGAUUCAUAGAAUUAGAAGAACUUUCUCUCUUGGACGAGAUGAUAAAAGGGAAACUAAAGACACAUGUACAAAAACCUCCUACAGGAAUACACAAGGAAAUAAUACAAUGGGUCAAAAUAAAUAAUGAGGAUCAUCUCCAUACCAUUUUGCAUUUCUCGACAAAUAUAAUCUGUUUGGCUAUUCUAAGUGGUUCUUUUUUUCUGGGUAAAGAGGAACUUGUCAUUUUGAAUUCUUGGGUUCAGGAAUUCUUCUAUAAUUUAAAUGACUCAAUAAAAGCUUUUUUUAUUCUUUUAGUUACUGAUUUUUUUGUUGGAUUUCACUCCACCCGUGGUUGGGAACUAGUAAUUCGUUGGGUCUACAACAAUUUUGGAUGGGCUCCUAACGAGCUUAUUUUCACUAUUUUUGUUUGUAGUUUUCCAGUAAUUCUAGAUACAUGUUUGAAAUUUUGGGUCUUUUUUUGUUUAAAUCGUCUAUCUCCUUCGCUUGUAGUCAUUUAUCAUUCAAUUAGUGAAGCAUAA
rnacentral:rRNA from 1 species